rfam:Bipolaris zeicola 26-R-13 unplaced genomic scaffold scaffold_163, whole genome shotgun sequence.
GGUGCGGUGCCAGAGUGGUUAAUGGGUAUGACUCGAAUUAACUAGAUAUCAUAUGGCUUCGGCCGCAGGAGUUCGAAUCUCCUCCGCAUCG